rnacentral:rRNA from 1 species
UACGGCGGGUGCAAGCGUUGUCCGGAAUCACUGGGCGUAAAGGGCGCGUAGGCGGCUCAUGAAGGCUGUGGUGAAAGUCCGGGGCUCAACCUCGGAUCGGCCGUGGCGACUCGUGGGCUGGAGCACUGUAGAGGCGGGUGGAAUUCCGGGUGUAGCGGUGGAAUGCGUAGAGAUCCGGAAGAACACCAGUGGCGAAGGCGGCCCGCUGGGCAGUGGCUGACGCUGAGGCGCGACAGCGCGGGGAGCAAACAGG